rnacentral:rRNA from 1 species
UACGAAGGGUGCAAGCGUUACUCGGAAUUACUGGGCGUAAAGCGUGCGUAGGUGGUGAGUUAAGUCUGUCGUGAAAGCCCCGGGCUCAACCUGGGAAUGGCGAUGGAUACUGGCUCGCUAGAGUGCGGUAGAGGAGAGUGGAAUUCCCGGUGUAGCAGUGAAAUGCGUAGAGAUGUGGAGGAACACCAGUGGCGAAGGCGACUUUUUGGCCUGUAACUGACGCUGAGGCGCGAAAGCGUGGGGAGCAAACAGG